AUGAACGCUGGCGGCGUGCUUAACACAUGCAAGUCGAACGAAGCACUUUAUUUGAUUUCCUUCGGGACUGAUUAUUUUGUGACUGAGUGGCGGACGGGUGAGUAACGCGUGGGUAACCUGCCUUGUACAGGGGGAUAACAGUUGGAAACGGCUGCUAAUACCGCAUAAGCGCACGGCAUCGCAUGAUGCAGUGUGAAAAACUCCGGUGGUAUAAGAUGGACCCGCGUUGGAUUAGCUAGUUGGUGAGGUAACGGCCCACCAAGGCGACGAUCCAUAGCCGACCUGAGAGGGUGACCGGCCACAUUGGGACUGAGACACGGCCCAAACUCCUACGGGAGGCAGCAGUGGGGAAUAUUGCACAAUGGGCGAAAGCCUGAUGCAGCGACGCCGCGUGGGCGAAGAAGUAUUUCGGUAUGUAAAGCUCUAUCAGCAGGGAAGAUAAUGACGGUACCUGACUAAGAAGCACCGGCUAAAUACGUG
rnacentral:rRNA from 1 species